AUUGAACGCUGGCGGCAGGCCUAACACAUGCAAGUCGAGCGGAGCGGCGGACGGGUGAGUAAUACCUAGGAAUCUGCCUGGUAGUGGGGGAUAACGUCCGGAACCGGGCGCUAAUACCGCAUACUAUCAGAUGAGCCUCGGUCGGUUUAGCUUGUUGGUGGGUUAAAGGCCUACCAAGGCGACGAUCCGUAACUGGUCUGGGAGGAUGAUCAGUCACACGUGAACUGAGACACGGUCGAGUCUCCUACGGGAGGCAUCAGUGGGGAAUAUUGGACAAUGGGCGAAAGCCUGAUGCAGCCAUGCCGCGUGUGUGAAGAAGGUCUUCGGAUUGUAAAGCACUUUAAGUUGGGAGGCGUUACCAACAGAAUAAGCACCGGCUAACUUCGUGCCAGCAGCCGCGGUAAUUC
rnacentral:rRNA from 1 species